rnacentral:rRNA from 1 species
GGAGUCUAACAUGUGCGCGAGUCAUUGGGUGUCAAACCUAAAGGCGGAAUGAAAGUAUAAAAAAAAAGUAGGCUCAGGCUUACCUUUCAGAGGGAGGAUGGGCACGUCUGCUCGAAAAAAGCGGUGCCCCGCACUCCCGGGGCGUCUCUUUCUCAUUGCGAGUGGAGGCGCACCAAAAGCGUACACGUUAGGACCCGAAAGAUGGUGAACUAUGCCUGGUCAGGACGAAGCCAGGGGAAACCCUGGUGGAGGUCCGUAGCGAUUCUGACGUGCAAAUCGAUCGUCAGAGCUGGGUAUAGGGGCGAAAGACUAAUCGAACCAUCUAGUAGCUGGUUCCCUCCGAAGUUUCCCUCAGGAUAGCUGGUGCCCGAGUGAGACGAGUCUCAUCCGGUAAAGCGAAUGAUUAGAGGCCUUGGGGCCGAAACGACCUCAACCUAUUCUCAAACUUUAAAUAGAUGAGAACUCCGGCUUGCUUAAAAGUGAAGCCGGAGAUUCGGAUCAGGGUGCCCAGUGGGCCAAUUUUG